GUGGGGAAUCUUGCGCAAUGGGCGAAAGCCUGACGCAGCCAUGCCGCGUGAAUGAUGAAGGUCUUAGGAUUGUAAAAUUCUUUCACCGGGGACGAUAAUGACGGUACCCGGAGAAGAAGCCCCGGCUAACUUCGUGCCAGCAGCCGCGGUAAUACGAAGGGGGCUAGCGUUGCUCGGAAUUACUGGGCGUAAAGGGCGCGUAGGCGGACAGCUUAGUCAGAGGUGAAAGCCCAGGGCUCAACCUUGGAAUUGCCUUUGAUACUGGCUGUCUUGAGUUUGGGAGAGGUGAGUGGAACUCCGAGUGUAGAGGUGAAAUGCGUAGAUAGUCGGAAGAACACCAGUGGCGAAGGCGACUCACUGGCCCAAUACUGACGCUGAGGCGCGAAAGCGUGGGGAGCAAACAGGAUUAGAAACCCGUGUAGUCC
rnacentral:rRNA from 1 species